rnacentral:rRNA from 1 species
UACGGGGGGGGCAAGCGUUGUUCGGAAUUACUGGGCGUAAAGGGCUCGUAGGCGGCCAAUUAAGUCGGAUGUGAAAUCCCCAGGCUUAACCUGGGAACUGCAUCCGAUACUGGAUGGCUUGAAUCCGGGAGAGGGAUGCAGAAUUCCAGGUGUAGCGGUGAAAUGCGUAGAUAUCGUCAAGAACACCGAUUGCGUAGGCAGCUUACUAAGCUUUAACUGACGCUGAGGCACGAAAGUGUGGGGAUCAAACAGG